rnacentral:rRNA from 1 species
GACGAACGCUGGCGGCGUGCUUAACACAUGCAAGUCGAACGGAAAGGCCCUGCUUUUGUGGGGUGCUCGAGUGGCGAACGGGUGAGUAACACGUGAGUAACCUGCCCUUGACUUUGGGAUAACUUCAGGAAACUUGGGCUAAUACCGGAUAGGAGCUCCUGCUGCAUGGUGGGGGUUGGAAAGUUUCGGCGGUUGGGGAUGGACUCGCGGCUUAUCAUCUUGUUGGUGGGGUAGUGGCUUACCAAGGCUUUGACGGGUAGCCGGCCUGAGAGGGUGACCGGGCAAAUUGGGACUGAGAGACGGCACAGACUGCAACGGGAGGCAGCAGUGGGGAAUAUUGCACAAUGGGCGGAAGCCUGAUGCAGCAACGCCGCGUGCGGGAUGACGGCCUUCGGGUUGUAAACCGCUUUCGCCUGUGACGAAGCGUGAGUGACGGUAAUGGGUAAAGAAGCACCGGCUAACUACGUG